UUGUCUCAAAGAUUAAGCCAUGCAUGUCUCAGUACAAGCCAAAUUAAGGUGAAACCGCGAAAGGCUCAUUAAAUCAGUUAUGGUUCCUUAGAUCGUACCCACAUUUACUUGGAUAACUGUGGUAAUUCUAGAGCUAAUACAUGCAAACAGAGCUCCGACCGGAGACGGAAGGAGCGCUUUUAUUAGAUCAAAACCAAUCGGUGGCGGUCUCCGUCAUCGUACAACUUGGUGACUCUGAAUAACUUUACGCUGAUCGCACGGUCUUGCACCGGCGACGCAUCUUUCAAAUGUCUGCCUUAUCAACUGUCGAUGGUAGGUUCUGCGCCUACCAUGGUUGUAACGGGUAACGGGGAAUCAGGGUUCGAUUCCGGAGAGGGAGCCUGAGAAACGGCUACCACAUCCAAGGAAGGCAGCAGGCGCGCAAAUUACCCACUCCCGGCACGGGGAGGUAGUGACGAAAAAUAACGAUACGGGACUCAUCCGAGGCCCCGUAAUCGGAAUGAGUACACUCUAAAUCCUUUAACGAGGAUCAAUUGGAGGGCAAGUCUGGUGCCAGCAGCCGCGGUAAUUCCAGCUCCAAUAGCGUAUAUUAAAGUUGUUGCGGUUAAAAAGCUCGUAGUCGAAUCUGUGUCCCGCGCCGCCGGUUCAUCGUUCGCGGUGUUAACUGGCGUGCCGCGGGACGUCCUGCCGGUGGGCUUAGCUCGAGAGGGCGGCCCAACUCAAUCCCGCCGCGGUGCUCUUCAUUGAGUGUCGAGGUGGGCCGGCACGUUUACUUUGAACAAAUUAGAGUGCUUAAAGCAGGCUAAAACUUCGCCUGAAUACUGUGUGCAUGGAAUAAUGGAAUAGGACCUCGGUUCUAUUUUGUUGGUUUUCGGAACCCCGAGGUAAUGAUUAAUAGGAACGGAUGGGGGCAUUCGUAUUGCGACGUUAGAGGUGAAAUUCUUGGAUCGUCGCAAGACGG
rnacentral:rRNA from 1 species